rnacentral:rRNA from 1 species
UACGUAGGGUGCGAGCGUUGUCCGGAAUUACUGGGCGUAAAGAGCUCGUAGGUGGUUUGUCGCGUUGUUCGUGAAAACUCACAACUCAAUUGUGGGCGUGCGGGCGAUACGGGCAGACUGGAGUACUGCAGGGGAGACUGGAAUUCCUGGUGUAGCGGUGGAAUGCGCAGAUAUCAGGAGGAACACCGAUGGCGAAGGCAGAUCUCUGGGCCGUAACUGACGCUGAGGAGCGAAAGCAUGGGGAGCGAACAGG